CCUUCCCUGAUGGCAUCUUUCUAUACUAAAACAAAACAUUUGACACGAUAAACCACAAGAUCGUGUUGACAAAAAUGGCUUCCAUGGUCAUGCCUUCAUUUUUAUUUUCAGAGUUUUGCAGCAGUUACCUGUCUUCACAAACACAAGCAGCUGUACGUAACAAUGUUCCCUCCCAGCCUCUGUGUACCUCUAUAGGAGUCCCACAGAGCUCAGUUCACUUGUUACAUCCCAAACUGAGAUUGACCAGGGAGAAGGAUUUAGGCAACUCCAAUCUUAGGAAGAUCAGUAAUGUAUAUGGUCAUAGGUCUGCAGCAUUUCAAGGAGAAGAUAUGGGAUUCUGUACACACAAAUAGAGUGCAUAAUAUUAAACCUGCCCUCACUA